AUUGAACGCUGGCGGCAGGCCUAACACAUGCAAGUCGAACGAGUGGCGGACGGGUGAGCAAUGUAUGGGAAACUGCCUGAUGGAGGGGGAUAACUACUGGACACGGUAGCUAAUACCGCAUACCAUCAGAUGAACCCAGAUGGGAGUAGCUUGUUGGUGGGGUAACGGCACAACAAGGCGACGCUCCCUAGCUGGUCUGAGAGGAUGAACAGCCACACUGGAACUGAGACACGGCCCAGACUCCGACGGGAGGCAGCAGUGGGGAAUAUUGCACAAUGGGCGCAAGCCUGAUGCAGCCAUGCCGCGUGUAUGAAGAAGGCCUUCGGGUUGUAAAGUACUUUCAGCGGGGAGGCGUUACCCUCAGAAGAAGCACCGGCUAACUCCGUGCCAGCCGCCGCGGUAAUAC
rnacentral:rRNA from 1 species